AGAGUUUGAUCCUGGCUCAGGAUGAACGCUAGCGGAAGGCUUAAUACAUGCAAGUCGAGCGGUAAAAAUCUGAGCAAUUGGAUUUGAGAGCGGCGCACGGGUGAGUAACGCGUACAUGACCUACCUUUAAGAUCGGGAUAGCCCUGGGAAACUGGGAUUAAUACCGGAUGUGAUAAUAAGUAUAGAGAUUUAUUAUUAAAGCUGAGGCGCUUAGAGAAGGGUGUGCGUCUGAUUAGCUAGUUGGUAGGGUAAAGGCCUACCAAGGCGACGAUCAGUAGGGGGCGUGAGAGCGUGAUCCCCCACACGGGUACUGAGACACGGACCCGACUCCUACGGGAGGCAGCAGUAGGGAAUAUUGGUCAAUGGACGGAAGUCUGAACCAGCCAUUCCGCGUGCAGGAAGAAGAUUCUAUGGAUUGUAAACUGCUUUUAGCAGAGAAGAAAAGCCUUCAUUGAUGGGGGUCUGACGGUAUCUGCGGAAUAAGCACCGGCUAACUCCGUGCCAGCAGCCGCGGUAAUACGGGGGGUGCAAGCGUUAUCCGGAAUCACUGGGUUUAAAGGGUGCGUAGGCGGGAUAUUAAGUCAGUGGUGAAAGUCUGUUGCUUAACAAUAGAAUUGCCGUUGAUACUGAUGUUCUUGAAUUGGGUUGAGGUUAGCGGAAUGUGACAUGUAGCGGUGAAAUGCAUAGAUAUGUCAUGGAACACCAAUUGCGAAGGCAGCUAGCUGGGCCUUGAUUGACGCUGAGGCACGAAAGCGUGGGUAGCGAACAGGAUUAGAUACCCUGGUAGUCCACGCCCUAAACGAUGCUAACUCGAUGU
rnacentral:rRNA from 1 species